UAUCUGGUUGAUCCUGCCAGUAGUCAUAUGCUUGUCUCAAAGAUUAAGCCAUGCAUGUCUAAGUACAAACCUUAAUACGGUGAAACCGCGAAUGGCUCAUUAAAUCAGCUAUGGUUCCUUAGAUCGUCUCAUCCUACUCGGAUAACUGUGGAAAAUCUAGAGCUAAUACGUGCUUACAAGCCCUGACCUCACGGGAGGGGCGCAUUUAUUAGAUCAAAACCAAUCGGGGCUUGCCCCGUCUGCUUGGUGACUCUGGAUAACUUUUGUGCUGAUCGCAUGGCCUCUGCGCUGGCGACGUAUCUUUCAAGUGUCUGCCCUAUCAACUUACGAUGGUAGGUGAUAUGCCUACCAUGGUUAUAACGGGUAACGGGGAAUCAGGGUUCGAUUCCGGAGAGGGAGCCUGAGAAACGGCUACCACAUCUAAGGAAGGCAGCAGGCGCGCAAAUUACCCACUCCGCACGGGGAGGUAGUGACGAAAAAUAACGAUACGGGACUCUUUUGAGGCCCCGUAAUUGGAAUGAGUACACUUUAAAUCCGUUAACAAGUAUCUAUUGGAGGGCAAGUCUGGUGCCAGCAGCCGCGGUAAUUCCAGCUCCAAUAGCGUAUAUUAAUGUUGCUGCAGUUAAAAAGCUCGUAGUUGGAUCUGAGGACUCGAAUUGGGUGCACCAUACGGUGUUACUGCCGAUUCGGCCUACCUAGUCGGUGCUCGCUCUUGGUGUUCUUAAUUGAAUGCCCUGAGUGCCCGGCAAGUUUACUUUGAAAAAAUUAGAGUGCUCAAAGCAGGCCAUUAGCCGGAAUACUUCAGCAUGGAAUAAUGGAAUAGGACUUCGGUUCUAUUUUGUUGGUUUUCGGAACCCGAGGUAAUGAUUAAGAGAGACA
rnacentral:ncRNA from 1 species